GCAGCACAGAGAGCUCAUUGUGAGGAGCCAGCAAGUGACUCAGAGCACUGGAAUGGAAGAUGGCACCUCUCACCUCCAGGUCACCCAUCUCCAUCCAUUUGCAGUUAGUGGGGGCUAGAAGUUAUUGCCAUCAGAGGGGCAUUCAGUGAAAUGAGCUGGUUGUCUGAGGACAGCUGCCCAGUCACACAGACCAGGCCGAUAUUAUUGCCCAACACAUUCUGCUCUCCCAGGCUCUAGCCAUGGCCGUUCAAUCAUCCUCUGAAUGGCCUGAAGCUCCAAGGGCCACCAGGCACACACUGCUGCCUUCUGUCUCACUCAGUGACUGGCAUGGUCACCCACUGAGAAAUAGACAAAGGCCUUCUCAUGUUCCCUUUGUUCCUCAGUUCUUUCUUCCCUCAGAAAGAGCUGCAAGAAAUGUUGUCCAUACUUUUCUGUAAUUCCUCCACUUCUGCUGAGCCCAGGCAUUGAAAAGUGAUUGACCACGCCACAGAAAUCAAACUUUCAGAUGCGAGCGCUCUCAUGGAUCCACAAGCACAGCCUUCAAGGAACAUUUCAAGCACUCUCAUGCUUUCUUCAUAAAAAAUAGGAGCUGGCAACAUUGCCCCAGCGCUGAUUUAGCACAGUGCUGCUCACAUUCCAGGCACAGUGCAAAUGUCAGUAGCUGAUUCCCAGUGGAGCUCAGAGGAGGUUGGUGGGAUGGAGAAUCAACUGCAAUGCACUUGGUUUGGGGCCAGAGAGACUAAGAUUGGGCCCUUGUCUAUUGCAAGUCUCACAAAGAGCCCUGUAAAGAAAUUAAGACUCUCUGGUGCAAACUCAGCAGAGCUGUGGCCUCAGUUGCUUCUCAGCCCUCCCAGCAGAGGCUGUCGGAGGUUAAAGCUUUGUGCUCUCCAGGAGAGCAUAGAUCCCUUCAUCAUUGCACAAGAAAUAUGUCACACUUCUUGUUUUGACUCUGAAAGUUAAUUUUCUCCUUCGUGCCAUCAUCCACCCAGCAAGAGGAUUCAUGUAUAAUAUUAAGGCAAAGAAGGCUGUGUCUUCAGGACAGGAAUUUCCUGUAUUUACGGACAUGCCAUACAAUUUACUUGCCCAUUAUCUGCUUUCCCCAAGUCGUCGUGCUUCC
rnacentral:lncRNA from 1 species